rnacentral:rRNA from 1 species
CCUACGGGAGGCAGCAGUAGGGAAUCUUCCACAAUGGGCGAAAGCCUGAUGGAGCAACGCCGCGUGGGUGAAGAAGGUCUUCGGAUCGUAAAACCCUGUUGUUAGAGAAGAAAGUGCGUGAGAGUAACUGUUCACGUUUCGACGGUAUCUAACCAGAAAGCCACGGCUAACUACGUGCCAGCAGCCGCGGUAAUACGUAGGUGGCAAGCGUUAUCCGGAUUUAUUGGGCGUAAAGGGAACGCAGGCGGUCUUUUAAGUCUGAUGUGAAAGCCUUCGGCUUAACCGGGGUAGUGCAUUGGAAACUGGGAGACUGGAGUGCAGAAGAGGAGAGUGGAACUCCAAGUGUAGCGGUGAAAUGCGUAGAUAUAUGGAAGAACACCAGUGGCGAAAGCGGCUCUCUGGUCUGUAACUGACGCUGAGGUUCGAAAGCGUGGGUAGCAAACAGGAUUAGAUACCCUGGUAGUC